rnacentral:rRNA from 1 species
UGGACAGUGGCGGACGGGCGAGUAACGCGUGAGUAACCUGCCCAUAAGUGAGGGGAUUAGGCCCCUUUGGGAAAACCGAGGAGUAAUACCUCAUGUUGAUUUUUAUCGCAUGGUAGAAAUAUGAAAGAUUUAUCGCAAAAGGAUGGACCCGCGUCUGAUUAGCUAGUUGGUGAGGUAACGGCUCACCAAGGCGACGAUCAGUAGCCGGCCUGAGAGGGUGAACGGCCACAUUGGGACUGAGACACGGCCCAAACUCCUACGGGAGGCAGCAGUGGGGAAUAUUGCACAAUGGGGGAAACCCUGAUGCAGCGACGCCGCGUGAGUGAAGAAGUAUUUCGGUAUGUAAAGCUCUAUCAGCAGGGAAGAAAAUGACGGUACCUGACUAAGAAGCCCCGGCUAACUACGUG